GUGAGAGAUUUCUUUGUACAGAAUAAAGGCGGCUUACAUUUUUUCUUUCCCUUAAGCAAAUACAAGAAUAAGAAGCCAUUGGUACUGUACCUUUAGCUAUUGCUAAUGAACUCAGAUUCAAUUUUAACCAAUUUUCUUUCAAUCUUUCUCUUGUUCUUUUAGCCAUAAAAUUAUCUUUAUUUUUAUUUUUUUGUGGAUAAAUCAAUUAUUAUUGUUCUACUUUUUACUUCUUUUUUUUCCCCCAGUUUAUUUAUCAUAUACUCUCUCUUGUUUCGAUCGGAUCUGAAAGGGAAACAAAAUAAGCAGUUCGGUUCCCUGUACAAAGUUCUUUCACUGUGUCAGAGUUGUAGGAAAAGUCAUGAAAUAUUGUUGGAGAAUCUGCAUUUUCUAAUUAGGUAAACCCAAAUUUUUCUUUUUUGCUUUAUUUUUGUGGGUUUAUGGGAAUGAGGAAGAAGGAUUCAUAUGGGGAAUAAGGCUUAGUCUGUCGUUUUAUUUUUUGUGGGUUUAUAUUGCUUUGCUGAUUUUUAAGGAUGUAAGAAAAAUAGAGAAUCUUUUAUUACUUGGUGAUCAAGAAGGAAUUGUUAAUUUUCUUUUCACUCUUUCUGGAUAAUGAGAUUAAUUCUUCUUGAAGAAACUGAUCUUUUGGAUUUUUUUUAAUUGAUUGUGGAAAAUUUUUCAUGCUUUAUUACUUAUAUUGUAAAUUAGGUUAAUUGUUCCUUCUCUGCAUAAUUUACGAGAAUUUCUUUCAAUGUAGAAGCUAUUGGUUAUUCAAAUUAUUGCAAAUCGAUUGAUCUGAAGUAUGAUCUUUGCUCAGAUAGCUUAGGUAAAAUGUAAUCAUUUUAGCAACUUUUUGUUUCUAAGUUCUUAGUGUGGCUUACUUUUACUCAAUAUCAGGACGAUAUAUAUCAGUGUCUAAGCUAAACUGGGCAAUGGAAUCACUUGUAGAGGGAAUUAAUUCUUUGCCAAUGAGUCGUAGUAUUGUCACCACUGUUGAAUAUAGUCCUCCUGCCGUUGGGACUAGUCGUCCACCCCAUCCUCCGCCACUAAAACAGUCUACAUAUGAAGGAAGUUCGUCUGGGUCCUGUGUAGUUCCUAC
rnacentral:lncRNA from 1 species